rnacentral:rRNA from 1 species
UACGGGGGGGGCAAGCGUUGUUCGGAAUUACUGGGCGUAAAGGGCCAGUAGGCGGCCAACUAAGUCCGACGUGAAAUCCCAAGGCUUAACCUUGGAACUGCGUCGGAUACUGGAUGGCUUGAAUUCGGGAGAGGGAUGCAGAAUUCCAGGUGUAGCGGUGAAAUGCGUAGAGAUCGGGAGGAACACCUGUGGCGAAGGCGGCCCCUGGGCCGGCCCGUGACGCUGAGGUGCGAAAGCGUGGGGAGCAAACAGG